rnacentral:snoRNA from 1 species
AAACCAUGCAUCAGACAUUUUCAAAUUAGUUCCUUGAAACGUUCCCAAGCUUCAUAUAAUAUCUUAUCUUCAGAUUGCCUAAAUGAUGUAAUGUUGUUCCUUGGCUU